CUCCAGCCCAUAAGGUCUGUAACUAAGCAAGAGAGUGUGUGUGUGUAUGUGUGUGUGUGUUGACUGUCUGCCUGUGAAUUUGUGUGUAUGACUGUCUGCCUGUGUGUGCGUGUGUGUGUAUGUGACUGCCUGUGACUCUAUGUGUGACUGCCUGCCUGUAACUGUGCUUGUGUGUGUCUGUGUGUGUGUCACUGUCUGUCUGUGAUUGUGUGUGACUGUCUGCCUGUGACUGUGUGUGAGUGAUUGUCUGCCUGUGACUGUCAGUGUGUUACAGUGUGCCUGUGAGUGUUUGUGUGUGUGUGUGACUGUCUGCAUGUGACUAUGUGUGUGUGUCUGUCUGUCUGCCUGUGAUUGUCUGUGUGUGACAGUGUGCCUGUGAGUGUGUGUGUGACUGACUGCCUGUGACUCUGGUCACCUGAAAAUGGGAGUGUCAGCCAAUCUGGCCAGCUAAGUUGGCCAUGCAGAAAGAAGUGCCAAAUCACUCUGCAAAGAAUAAUACUGGUGGCUAACACUGACGAUUUGCUAGCAUUAAGGAUGG